AGUGAACGCUGGCGGUAGGCCUAACACAUGCAAGUCGACCGGCAGCACCGUAAGUGCUUGCUCUUACGGGUGGCGAGUGGCGGACGGGCGAGGAAUUAAUCGGCCUCUACUUUUUCGUGGGGGUUAACGUAGGGAAACUUACGCUAAUACCGCAUACGACCUACGGGUGAAAGCAGGGGAACUUUGGACCUUGCGCGAUUGAAUGAGCCGAUGUCGGAUUAGCUAGUUGGCGGGGUCAUGGCCCACCAUGGCGACGAUCCGUAGCUGGUGUGUGAGGAGGAUCAGCCACACUGGAACUGAGACACGGUCCAGACGACUACGGGAGGCAGCAGUGUGGAAUAUGGGACAAUGGGCGCGAGCCUUAUCCAGCCAGACCGCGUGGGUGAAGAAGACGUUCGGGUUGUAAAGCCCGUUUGUGGGGAGAGAAAAGCAGCAGGUUAAUACCCCGCGGUACUGACGGUACCCAAUAAAUAAGCACCGGCUAACUUCGUG
rnacentral:rRNA from 1 species